UACGAAGGGUGCAAGCGUUAAUCGGAAUUACUGGGCGUAAAGCGCGCGUAGGUGGUUCAGCAAGUUGAAGGUGAAAUCCCCGGGCUCAACCUGGGAACUGCCUCCAAAACUACCGAGCUAGAGUACGGUAGAGGGUAGUGGAAUUUCCUGUGUAGCGGUGAAAUGCGUAGAUAUAGGAAGGAACACCAGUGGCGAAGGCGACUACCUGGACUGAUACUGACACUGAGGUGCGAAAGCGUGGGGAGCAAACAGG
rnacentral:rRNA from 1 species